rnacentral:misc_RNA from 1 species
UUUCCGUAGGUGAACCUGCGGAAGGAUCAUUACUGAGUGAGGGCCCCUCGGGGUCCAACCUCCCACCCGUCUUUAACGAACCUUGUUUCUUCGCCCGGCCCGCCUCACGGCCGUCGGGGGGGAUCUUCCCCCGGGCCCGCGCCCGCCGAAUCCACCCGAGAACGCAGUCUGACGUAUGCAGUCUGAUACAAUUCUUAAAUUAAUUAAAACAUUGAACAACGUAUCUCUCGCUUCCGGCAUCGAUGCAGAACGCAGCAGAACGGAACAUCAGACCUCCGA